AUUGAACGCUGGCGGCAGGCCUAACACAUGCAAGUCGAACGAGUGGCGGACGGGUGAGUAAUGUCUGGGAAACUGCCCGAUGGAGGGGGAUAACUACUGGAAACGGUCGCUAAUACCGCAUACUCUCGGAUGUGCCCAGAUGGGAUUGGCUAGUAGGUGGGGUAUCGGCUCACCUGGGCGACGAUCCCUAGCUGGUCUGCGAGGAUGACCAGCCACACUGGAACUGAGACACGGUCCAGACUCUUAGGGGAGGCAGCUGUGGGGAAUAUUGACAAAUGGGCGCAAGCUUGCUGCACCCAUGCCGCGUGUAUGAAGAGGGCCUUGGGGUUGUAAAGUACUUUCAGCGAGGAGGCGUUACCCGCAGAAGAAGCACCGGCUAACUCCGUGCCAGCAGCCGCGGUAAUUC
rnacentral:rRNA from 1 species